rnacentral:rRNA from 1 species
GACGUAGGUGGCGAGCGUUGUUCGGAAUCACUGGGCAUAAAGCGCACGUAGGCGGCUAAGUCAGUCAGGUGUGAAAUACCUCGGCUCAACCGAGGAACUGCGCCUGAUACUGCUUGGCUUGAGGUCCGGAGGGGAGAGUGGAAUUCCCGGUGGAGCGGUGAAAUGCGUAGAGAUCGGGAAGAACGCCGGCGGCGAAAGCGACUCUCUGGUCGGAAUCUGACGCUGAGGUGCGAAAGCUAGGGGAGCAAACGGG